rnacentral:rRNA from 1 species
GAUGAACGCUGGCGGCGUGCCUAAUACAUGCAAGUCGAGCGAACAGACGAGGAGCUUGCUCCUCUGACGUUAGCGGCGGACGGGUGAGUAACACGUGGAUAACCUACCUAUAAGACUGGGAUAACUUCGGGAAACCGGAGCUAAUACCGGAUAAUAUAUUGAACCGCAUGGUUCAAUAGUGAAAGACGGUUUUGCUGUCACUUAUAGAUGGAUCCGCGCCGCAUUAGCUAGUUGGUAAGGUAACGGCUUACCAAGGCAACGAUGCGUAGCCGACCUGAGAGGGUGAUAGGCCACCCUGGAACUGAGACACGGUCCAGACUCCUACGGGAGGCAGCAGUAGGGAAUUUUACGCAAUGGGCGAAAGCAUGACGGAGCAACGCCGCGUGAGUGAUGAAGGUCUUCGGAUCGUAAAACUCUGUUAUUAGGGAAGAACAAAUGUGUAAGUAACUAUGCACGUCUUGACGGUACCUAAUCAGAAAGCAACGGCUAACUACGUG